rnacentral:ncRNA from 1 species
GACAAGGGGUGCCGAUUGGCUGAGAGCGGCGUUUGCCGAAACCCUUGAACCUGAUCCGGAUUAUACCGGCGGAGGGAUGUUGGCA